rnacentral:rRNA from 1 species
GACGAACGCUGGCGGCGUGCUUAACACAUGCAAGUCGAACGGAAAGGCCCUGCUUUUGUGGGGUGCUCGAGUGGCGAACGGGUGAGUAACACGUGAGUAACCUGCUCUUGACUUUGGGAUAACUUCAGGAAACUGGGGCUAAUACCGGAUAGGAGCUCCUGCUGCAUGGUGGGGGUUGGAAAGUUUCGGCGGUUGGGGAUGGACUCGCGGCUUAUCAGCUUGUUGGUGGGGUAGUGGCUUACCAAGGCUUUGACGGGUAGCCGGCCUGAGAGGGUGACCGGCCACAUUGGGACUGAGAUACGGCCCAGACUCCUACGGGAGGCAGCAGUGGGGAAUAUUGCACAAUGGGCGGAAGCCUGAUGCAGCAACGCCGCGUGCGGGAUGACGGCCUUCGGGUUGUAAACCGCUUUCGCCUGUGACGAGGCGUGAGUGACGGUAAUGGGUAAAGAAGCACCGGCUAACUACGUG